GGGUCCUUAGCUCAGUGGUAGAGCACCGCGUCGACAUCGCGUAGGCCGCUGGUUCGAAUCCAGCAGGACCCACCA
rnacentral:tRNA from 1 species